UUGUGGUUAAAAAGCUCGUAGUUGGAUCUCGGCGGACUGAGGGCGGUUUGCUUGCUAGUAUUACUGCCCUAUAGUCCGUAGUUUUGCCAGAGGUUUCGGGGUGCUCUUAAUCGAGUGUCCCGGGAUGCUGGCAGGUUUACUUUGAAAAAAUUAGAGUGCUCAAAGCAGGCUAUUACGCCUGAAUAUUCGUGCAUGGAAUAAUAGAAUAGGAAGUCGUUUCUAUUUUGUUGGUUUUCGGAAAUCGACUUAAUGAUUAAUAGGGACAGUCGGGGGCAUUUGUAUUCAAACGACAGAGGUGAAAUUCUUGGACCGUUUGAAGACAAACUACUGCGAAAGCAUUUGCCAAGAAUGUUUUCAUUAAUCAAGAACGAAAGUUAAAGGUUCGAAGGCGAUUAGAUACCGUCUAGUUUUAACCAUAAACGAUGCCAGCUAGCGAUCUGCGGACGUUUUUUUGUAGACUCCGCAGGAAGCUUCCGGGAAACCAAAGCAUUUGGGUUCCAGGGGAAGUAUGGUUGCAAAGCUGAAACUUAAAGGAAUUGACGGAAGGGCACCACCAGGAGUGGAGCCUGUGACUUAAUUUGACUCAACACGGGAAAUCUCACCAGGCCCGGACACUGGAAGGAUUGACAGAUGGAUAGCUCCU
rnacentral:rRNA from 1 species